rnacentral:tRNA from 1 species
GAGGGUAGAGCUCAGUGGCACAGCAUGUGCUUAGCAUGCACGAGGUCCUGGGUUCAAUCCCUAGUACCUACA